GUAGCGCAUUUCGUGUGACGUGGCAUUGUUUGAGUAUCGAGAGAUAUGAGAUGUUGCGACCUAAGAGAUGCCUCCCUUUCGCACACAUUAGCUUUGCGAACCAAGGCUAUGAUGCGGAACGGUCACUUGGGU
rfam:Sulfuricurvum sp. PC08-66 contig_7, whole genome shotgun sequence.